UUCCGGUUGAUCCUGCCAGAGGUUACUGCUAUCGAGGUUCGACUAAGCCAUGCGAGUCGAAUGUAGCAAUACAUGGCGUACUGCUCAGUAACACGUGGACAACCUACCCUUUGGACGGGGAUAAACCCGGGAAACUGGGUAUAAUACCCGAUAGAUCUGAGAAGCUGGAAUGCGCUCAGAUUGAAAGCUCCGGCGCCAAAGGAUGGGUCUGCGGCCUAUCAGGUAGUAGUGGGUGUAGCGUACCUACUAGCCUACGACGGGUACGGGUUGUGAGAGCAAGAGCCCGGAGAUGGAUUCUGAGACACGAAUCCAGGCCCCACGGGGUGCAGCAGGCGCGAAAACUUUACAAUGCCGGCAACGGCGA
rnacentral:rRNA from 1 species